rnacentral:rRNA from 1 species
UACGGGAGGCAGCAGUGGGGAAUAUUGCACAAUGGGCGAAGGCCUGAUGCAGCUAUGCCGCGUGUAUGAAGAAGGCCUUAGGGUUGUAAAGUACUUUCAUCGGGGAGGAAAAACAAAACUAAUAAUUUUAUUUCUUGACGUUACCCGAAAAAGAAGCACCGGCUAACUCCGUGCCAGCAGCCGCGGUAAUACGGAGGGUGCUAGCGUUAAUCAGAAUUACUGGGCGUAAAAGAGCACGUAGGUGGUUUUUUUAAGUCAGAUGUGAAAUCCCUGGGCUUAACCUAGGAACUGCAUUUUGAAACUGAAAUACUAGAGUAUCGUAGAGGGAGGUAGAAUUCUAGGUGUAGCGGUGAAAUGCGUAGAUAUCUGGAGGAAUACCUGUGGCGAAAGCGGCCUCCUAAACGAAUACUGACACUGAGGUGCGAAAAGCGUGGGGAGCGAAAACAGGGAUUAGAUACC